GACGAACGCUGGCGGCGUGCUUAACACAUGCAAGUCGAACGGAAAGGCCCUGCUUUUGUGGGGUGCUCGAGUGGCGAACGGGUGAGUAACACGUGAGUAACCUGCCCUUGACUUUGGGAUAACUUCAGGAAACGGGGGCUAAUACCGGAUAGGAGCUCCUGCUGCAUGGUGGGGGUUGGAAAGUUUCGGCGGUUGGGGAUGGACUCGCGGCUUAUCAGCUUGUUGGUGGGGUAGUGGCUUACCAAGGCUUUGACGGGUAGCCGGCCUGAGAGGGUGACCGGCCACAUUGGGACUGAGAUACGGCCCAGACUCCUACGGGAGGCAGCAGUGGGGAAUAUUGCACAAUGGGCGGAAGCCUGAUGCAGCAACGCCGCGUGCGGGAUGACGGCCUUCGGGUUGUAAACCGCUUCCGCCUGUGACGAAGCGUGAGUGACGGUAAUGGGUAAAGAAGCACCGGCUAACUACGUG
rnacentral:rRNA from 1 species